rnacentral:misc_RNA from 1 species
UGCACCCCACCGCAGCUAGAAGGGAGCCGUUCGUCGCGUGUGCUGUGGCCCCCGAGCCGCCUUCACUCGAAUAUAUAGCGGUGCGCUACGCGUUGAUCAGGCUCGCCAUGAAAGUUACCGACGAAGAGUCUAUAUCUGAAUCUAGUUGCUCUACUGCUUCGGAACAGUUAAAUUCUAAGGCGAAAGCUAAGCAAGCUAGGAAGAAUGAGAGAAAGAGGUUGCAACGUGCCCAGGAAACAGAGGAACAACGAGCAGAACGAUUGCGAAAACGACGAGAAGCCGAAGCAGCUAAGCGAGCCACUUUAGAAGGGCGAGACGUGCACAUGUAGCCGAGCACCACUGCGGUGCACAGCCAGCACCCAGACGACGCAGGAUGAGUGCAGCCUUCCAUCGGCAUCCGAGGCUGGCACGCAAACCCUCGCAAUCCUGCGCACAGCUGCUACCCAGACACCACGGCACCACAGCUCUGGUGUGCAGACCGACAGCUGUGAGUUAUCCCUGCCUCCAGCAACACCCGAACGAUCCGCUGAUGCUUCUGCUUCGCUGUGGGGACUUCAGGCUCAAGCCUCGUCAACACCAGUGCAAAGGAAAUUAUUUGGGGAUGCUGAUCAGAUAGAAGAAGCGGAGGUCAACAAUUUAGCGCUGCUCGACGACAGCUACAGACCUUCGGCAGCAUCGCAGAACUGCACUAAUGCUAGAACCAAGAGAAGCAGCUUUGGUGCAGAUGACAAGGGUUCCUAUACCAUGAACUGUGCUAGUCUGUUGGACCUUAAGUUCUUUGAACAAGUGCAAGAGAGGUUUACGAGACUCAAGCCAGAGGUAGCGAGGGCUAUGAAGGCUACCAUUCUCAAAAUACUUGACAAAGCAGCUAAAUCUUGAAAACAAAAGGCAAGAACUGCACAUCACAUUUCUGGCAAGAUUAGAUGGUCCCAGGUUUUCAUGGCAAAAAAAAAAGUUUUGGUAAAAGCUGCCAUUACCAAUGUCACCCAACAAAAGUGUGCUAAAAAAUGAAUAAAAAAUUUUAAUUACCAUAUGCUGGAGUUGCAAGAACAAAUGGUUCCCAAACAGUGGUUCACAAAAUUAUUUCUGAAAAUUUGAACAUGUAAAAGGUUUAUUCGAAAUUGGUGCCAAAAGUGUUGAGUGAUGAACAAAAACAAUGAUGAGUUGACAUUUCGUGUAAGAUGUUGGUGAAGUGAGAAAGUGAAAGGGAUGUUUUAGACGGAGUAAUAACAGUGACUAAUCAUGGGUGUUCCAGUAUGACCCUGAAACCAAAUGCCAAAGUUUGCAGUGGCACAUGGCAAACUCUCAGCGCCCCAAGAAAGUGAGAAUGUUGAAAUCCAAGGUAAAGACAAUGUUUGUCUUUUUCGACUAGCGUGGAUUGGUCCAUAAAGAAUUUGUACCUUUGGGACGAAUCAUCAACACCGUGUUCUACAAAGAAGUCCUUGAGCGCCUUCACAGAGCUGUCAAAUGAAUACGACUGGAGAUUGCCAAUCGCUGUAAGCUACACCACAACAAUGCUCCAGCCCACACCGCCUUCGUUACGACUGCCUACCUGGCUCGGAUAGGGGUUGCAACCUUGCCGCAGCCACCGUACAGUUCCGAUAUGAGCCCAGCAGACUUUUUCCUGUUGCUAAAGCUGAAGAGAUACCUGAAAGGUCACCGUUUUGACGAUGUUUCCGCCAUCCAAUGCACUGUCACAGAGUCUCUGAAAGAGCUUGCAGCAGUUGAUUUCCAGGGAGUCUUUGCAGCAUGGGAAUCACUUUGUCAGCAGUGUAUCAAUGCCCAAGGGGACUACAUUGAAACGUUUUGAUAAUAUGUACCAAUCAGAUCAAUAAAUUAUUUUUACCAGA